rnacentral:rRNA from 1 species
CUACGGGGGGCAGCAGUGAGGAAUAUUGCACAAUGGGGGGAACCCUGAUGCAGCAACGCCGCGUGGAGGAUGACGCAUUUCGGUGUGUAAACUCCUUUUAUAUGUCAAGAAAAUGACGGUAGCAUAUGAAUAAGCACCGGCUAACUCCGUGCCAGCAGCCGCGGUAAUACGGAGGGUGCAAGCGUUACUCGGAAUCACUGGGCGUAAAGGACGCGUAGGCGGGUUGGAAAGCCAGGUGUGAAAUCCUACAGCUUAACUGUAGAACUGCACUUGAAACUUCUAAUCUAGAGUAUGGGAGGGGGAGAUGGAAUUAGUGGUGUAGGGGUAAAAUCCGUAGAUAUCACUAGGAAUACCUAAAGCGAAGGCGAUCUCCUGGAACAUUACUGACGCUAAGGCGCGAAAGCGUGGGGAGCAAACAGGAUUAGAUACCCUUGUAGUC